GACGAACGCUGGCGGCGUGCUUAACACAUGCAAGUCGAACGCUGAAGCUCAGCUUUUGUUGGGUGGAUGAGUGGCGAACGGGUGAGUAACACGUGAGUAACCUGCCCCCUUCUUUGGGAUAACGCCCGGAAACGGGUGCUAAUACUGGAUAUUCACUGGUCUUCGCAUGGGGGUUGGUGGAAAGGGUUUUUCUGGUGGGGGAUGGGCUCGCGGCCUAUCAGCUUGUUGGUGAGGUGAUGGCCUACCAAGGCUUUGACGGGUAGCCGGCCUGAGAGGGUGACCGGUCACAUUGGGACUGAGAUACGGCCCAGACUCCUACGGGGGGCAGCAGUGGGGAAUAUUGCACAAUGGGCGCAAGCCUGAUGCAGCGACGCCGCGUGAGGGAUGGAGGCCUUCGGGUUGUGAACCUCUUUCGCUCAUGGUCAAGCCGCAACAAUGGUUGUGGUGAGGGUAGUGGGUAAAGAAGCGCCGGCUAACUACGUG
rnacentral:rRNA from 1 species